rnacentral:rRNA from 1 species
AACGCACCUUGCGCCCCUUGGUAUUCCGAGGGGCACACCCGUUUGAGUGUCGUGAAAACCUCAACCUCCCUGGUUUCUUCUGGAGACCAAAGGAGGCUUGGACUUUGGAGGCCUUUGCUGGCGUCUCUGCCAGCUCCUCUCAAAUGAAUUAGUGGGGUCCUCUUUGCUGAUCCUUGACGUGUGAUAAGAUGCUUCCAUGUCUUGGUUUCUGGCUCUGUUGCCUUUGGGACCCGCUUCUAACCGUCUAGACCUCGUGUCGAGACAACGUUCGAGCAUGUCUCCCUUGUCGGGAAACAUUCUCGACCCCACGAACCCUUGACCUCAAAUCGGGUGAGACUACCCGCUGAACUUAA